GAUGAACGCUGGCGGCGUGCCUAAUACAUGCAAGUCGAGCGAACGGACGAGAAGCUUGCUUCUCUGAUGUUAGCGGCGGACGGGUGAGUAACACGUGGAUAACCUACCUAUAAGACUGGGAUAACUUCGGGAAACCGGAGCUAAUACCGGAUGAUAUUUUGAACCGCAUGGUUCAAAAGUGAAAGACGGUCUUCCUGUCACCUAUAGAUGGAUCCGCGCUGCAUUAGCUAGUUGGUAAGGUAACGGCUUACCAAGGCAACGAUGCAUAGCCGACCUGAGAGGGUGAUCGGCCACACUGGAACUGAGACACGGUCCAGACUCCUACGGGAGGCAGCAGUAGGGAAUCUUCCGCAAUGGGCGAAAGCCUGACGGAGCAACGCCGCGUGAGUGAUGAAGGUCUUCGGAUCGUAAAACUCUGUUAUUAGGGAAGAACAUAUGUGUAAGUAACUGUGCACAUCUUGACGGUACCUAAUCAGAAAGCCACGGCUAACUACGUG
rnacentral:rRNA from 1 species